rnacentral:rRNA from 1 species
GUGUGUUCCAGGUAAAUCCGGUUCACUUUAACACUGAGGCGUGAUGACGAGGCGCUACGGUGCUGAAGCAACAAAUGCCCUGCUUCCAGGAAAAGCCUCUAAGCAUCAGGUAACAUCAAAUCGUACCCCAAACCGACACAGGUGGUCAGGUAGAGAAUACCAAGGCGCUUGAGAGAACUCGGGUGAAGGAACUAGGCAAAAUGGUGCCGUAACUUCGGGAGAAGGCACGCUGACAUGUAGGUGAAGUGAUUUACUCAUGGAGCUGAAGUCAGUCGAAGAUACCAGCUGGCUGCAACUGUUUAUUAAAAACACAGCACUGUGCAAACACGAAAGUGGACGUAUACGGUGUGACGCCUGCCCGGUGCCGGAAGGUUAAUUGAUGGGGUCAGCGCAAGCGAAGCUCCUGAUCGAAGCCCCGGUAAACGGCGGCCGUAACUAUAACGGUCCUAAGGUAGCGAAAUUCCUUGUCGGGUAAGUUCCGACCUGCACGAAUGGCGUAAUGAUGGCCAGGCUGUCUCCACCCGAGACUCAGUGAAAUUGAACUCGCUGUGAAGAUGCAGUGUACCCGCGGCAAGACGGAAAGACCCCGUGAACCUUUACUAUAGCUUGACACUGAACAUUGAGCCUUGAUGUGUAGGAUAGGUGGGAGGCUUUGAAGUGUGGACGCCAGUCUGCAUGGAGCCGACCUUGAAAUACCACCCUUUAAUGUUUGAUGUUCUAACGUGGACCCGUAAUCCGGGUUGCGGACAGUGUCUGGUGGGUAGUUUGACUGGGGCGGUCUCCUCCUAAAGAGUAACGGAGGAGCACGAAGGUUGGCUAAUCCUGGUCGGACAUCAGGAGGUUAGUGCAAUGGCAUAAGCCAGCUUGACUGCGAGCGUGACGGCGCGAGCAGGUGCGAAAGCAGGUCAUAGUGAUCCGGUGGUUCUGAAUGGAAGGGCCAUCGCUCAACGGAUAAAAGGUACUCCGGGGAUAACAGGCUGAUACCGCCCAAGAGUUCAUAUCGACGGCGGUGUUUGGCACCUCGAUGUCGGCUCAUCACAUCCUGGGGCUGAAGUAGGUCCCAAGGGUAUGGCUGUUCGCCAUUUAAAGUGGUACGCGAGCUGGGUUUAGAACGUCGUGAGACAGUUCGGUCCCUAUCUGCCGUGGGCGCUGGAGAACUGAGGGGGGCUGCUCCUAGUACGAGAGGACCGGAGUGGACGCAUCACUGGUGUUCGGGUUGUCAUGCCAAUGGCACUGCCCGGUAGCUAAAUGCGGAAGAGAUAAGUGCUGAAAGCAUCUAAGCACGAAACUUGCCCCGA